AAAAAAAAAAAAAAAAAAAAAAAAAAAACGAAGGAAGGAAGGAAGGAAGGAAGAGUGUUGUUAUGAUUGGUGUUGUGACCUAAAGCAUAAUUAUUUUUUAAACUGCAUUUUUUGCUUUAUUUUUCUUUUAACUACUUCUGUA
rnacentral:ribozyme from 1 species